GUCUAUUGUUUGUACUUCUGUGUCCCGAUUUUGUCUUUUGUUCAUUUAUUGUCCUACUUUAUGACUAUAGUCUGAGUGUUGAUUUUCAUUUGUAAACGUGUGGUUUUGCAAUGUAACAUGCCCACCCGAUGUCCAGAUAUUGUGCGAGAGAAUAUUUUAAGAAUAGACGAUGCUACAAGACACAGAAAAAAAUGGUCGUUUCUGAAUGGAG
rnacentral:lncRNA from 1 species